UACGUAGGGUGCAAGCGUUAUCCGGCAUCAUUGGGCGUAAAGAGAUCGUAGGCGGGUCAACAAGUUGGCUGUGAAAGUCCGAGGCUUCACCUCGGAAUUGCAGUCGAUACUUUUGUGACUGGAGUCCGGUAGAGGAGAAUGGAAUUCCCGGUGUAGCGGUGAAAUGCGCAGAUAUCGGGAGGAACACCAGUAGCGAAGGCGGUUCUCUGGGCCGGCACUGACGCUGAGGAGCGAAAGCGUGGGGAGCAAACAGG
rnacentral:misc_RNA from 1 species